rnacentral:rRNA from 1 species
CGACGACCGGCGCACGGGUGAGUAACGCGUAUGCAACCUACCUACAACUGGGGGAUAGCUUUCGGAGACGGAAAUUAAUACCCCAUAGUACCUAGAUACCGCAUGGUAUUAAGGUUAAAACUCCGGUGGUUGUAGAUGGGCAUGCGUGCCAUUAGCUUGUUGGUGAGGUAACGGCUCACCAAGGCUACGGUGGCUAGGGGGUCUAAAAGGAUGGUCCCCCACACUGGUACUGAGACACGGACCAG